GGCCGCCUGGCGAAAUGGCAUCGCGUCUGACUACGACUUGCUUUGAAAUCAGGAGAUUGCAGGUUCGACCCCUGCGGUGGUCA
rfam:Sphaerobolus stellatus SS14 unplaced genomic scaffold SPHSTscaffold_1, whole genome shotgun sequence.